AUUCAUGGCUCAGGAUGAACGCUGGCGGCGUGCUAACACAUGCAAGUCGAACGUGAGGGGGUAGCAAUAUCUCUGAAAGUGGCGCACGGGUGAGUAAUACGUAGGUGACCUGCCCUGGAGUGGGGGAUAACAGCUAGAAAUGGCUGCUAAUACCGCAUAAUACCGAAUUGCUGGGAAGCAGAUUGGUAAAAACUCUGGUGCUUCAGGAGGGGCCUGCGGCCGAUUAGCUAGUUGGCGGGGUAAGAGCCCACCAAGGCAGUGAUCGGUAGCUGGUCUGAGAGGACGAUCAGCCACACGGGAACUGAGACACGGUCCCGACUCCUACGGGGGGCAGCAGUGAGGAAUAUUGGGCAAUGGGCGGAAGCCUGACCCAGCAACGCCGCGUGGAGGAAGACGGCCUUCGGGUUGUAAACUCCUUUUACGGGGGAAGAGGAAGGACGGUACCCCGAGAAUAAGUCACGGCAAC
rnacentral:rRNA from 1 species